ensembl:lncRNA
AAUCUGCUUCUAAUUGAAAGGUGACACUAGGCAGUCAUUUUUCGGGAUCACAAUAACAUAGAACAAUACUGUUUCUGCUGAAGUGUACUUUGAACAUUAAAUACCUUAAAAGAAAUUUUGCUUAAUGUGCAAAACAUAACAGAGCAUGUUACAAAGGGUUGUCUUCACUGUGCAAUGCACUUAACGUACGUUACCUUUUAUUUCAGGUGAGAUGAAUGAACAAAUAAUUUCUUUUUAUUCAUCUGAGUGGUGAGAAUUCAGACUCGCCUAUGCUAGUAUUCAGUUUUACAUGGUCUGUAGGCCUUCUGAUUAGCAGGGUCAUGCUAAUUUGAAUCAGGUGUUGUGUUGUUUAAUGGGAAAUUACACUUUGUAGACUUGCUGCAAGCUGUUUGUUGCUACUUCAGUAUUUUCCAUCUGAUGAAGUUUGGCAUGAAAAUGGUACCACUUCAGCUCAAGACUCCAGAUGCCUGAGAGAGGGAAGGAGGUGCUCCUUUUGGGUUGACAUGACCGGACAUAACAAUGAGAGAGCUUAUGGAGAGGGACGGGCAACCCUAAAAGGGCAAGUGACAGCAACAC